CACAUGGAUAUCCUCGAAGAAAGUGACAAAGACAGCGAAGUUUGGCCGUCUGGGAAGCGGAGACCAACGGGGCUGACUACCUGGGAGCACCGAGACUCCGGACAGCGCCUCUCGGGGACCAAGAAGGGUACGGCGAUCUGCUUCAGCACCACGGCUCCGGACAGCUCCCGGAGGCUUUCCGGAGCCCACUUAAUUUCAGCACGAGGAAACCGGUCAGCUUCCUGGUGAGAUGGCCAGUCGGUAGGACCGUGGGGGGACACGCGGCUGCCAUUGCUGUGCUCUUUCCAGACUUCUGUGAGAAGCAUUGUGCCAAGCGUCUUAUAUACAUUAUAUCACGCCAUCAUUCAACCCUA